UCUUCAGUAGUAUAGUGGUCAGUAUUUCCGCUUGUCAAGUUACAUUGGCAGCUCGCGGGAGACCGGGGUUCAAUUCCCCGCUGGAGAG
rnacentral:tRNA from 2 species